rnacentral:tRNA from 1 species
GCCGGGAUGGUGGAAUUGGUAGACACGCAAGACUUAAAAUCUUGUGACCAAUUGGUCGUGCGGGUUCAAGUCCCGCUCCUGGUA